GGCCCGGCACAAGCGGUGGAUUAUGUGGAUUAAUUCGAUGCAACGCGAAAAACCUUAACCUGGCCUUGACAUGUACCGAAUUUAGCAGAGAUGCUUUAGUGCUCGUAAGAGAACGGUAACACAGGUGCUGCAUGGCUGUCGUCAGCUCGUGUCGUGAGAUGUUGGGUUAAGUCCCGCAACGAGCGCAACCCUUGCCAUUAAUUGCCAUCAUUUAGUUGGGCACUUUAAUGGGACUGCCGGUGACAAACCGGAGGAAGGUGGGGAUGACGUCAAGUCCUCAUGGCCCUUAUGGCCAGGGCUUCACACGUAAUACAAUGGUCGGUACAGAGGGCUGCUAACCCGCGAGGGGGUGCCAAUCUCAGAAAACCGAUCGUAGUCCGGAUUGUUGUCUGCAACUCGACAGCAUGAAGUCGGAAUC
rnacentral:rRNA from 1 species